rnacentral:lncRNA from 1 species
CCCCAUCGUAUGCCCAGACCUCCCACCCAGGCAUCUCCAAAGACAGCUUGACCACACCAAAUGUCCCACCCUGGACACCUAGGCGCUGAGCAGCACCGGUCUCCCAGCAGCCACCGGGCAGGCUGGUUAGGGCCCCCACGCUGCUGCGGGAGGAACAGAGUAAGGGGACGGGAGGUGAGCUGCGGCAACUCCCAUCAUCCAGGUGCAGUUCUCCAAUCAGAAUCAAGACACCCAGGACACUCCGCCCGGGAAGCAGCCACCGAACCACCAUGAUGGGAGACAGAGCGGGUGCCCCUCUCAACUUCCCUCGCUGCUGAGAAGUGGAUAAAGGGGUCUCCCUGAACCCCCUGAGCUGCCCCAGGUGCCUGCCUUUUCCCCCUCCCCUCGAGCUCCCCCUCCUCGAGUUGAGCCUGGCUAGAGAGACACCUGCAGGUUUGCGCAAAGACCUCAUAUGACUGCAUCUGGCUAAACUGACAACAGAGGAAUGAAAACAAUCGAGAAACACAUGGUCCUAGAGAGAAAAUGCAGGGGCUGACCCCAAGGCUGGGAAGUGAGCAUCACCUCUCCACACCAGUUUCUGUGGCCUCUGGGGAAAAGACAGAAUAAAAACUAGACUACAGGAGGUGGGGAGGGUGAACACGUACAAAUCAUAGUGAGAAAGAACCAGUAAGACCUGGUGUUUGCCAGCACAACAGGAUUACAAGCAACAAUAAUGUAUCAUACAUUCUUAAACCACUAUGAGUAUAAUUGGAUUGUUGGAACACAAAGGACAAAUGUUUGAGGGGUGGAUACCCCUUUACCCUGAUGCGAUUAUUACACACUGCAUGCCUAUAUCAAAAUAUCUCACGUACCCCAUACCUACAAACGUAUGUACCAUGUACCCACAAAAAUUACAAAUACAAAAAUACAAAAAAAAUUAGUCUAAAAACUAGACUCUACACUUAAGGCUGGGCAAUUUCACAAAGCCCUUGAAGGGCAGGAGUCUCUUCCAGGCUCCAGAGGAAUCCAGAGGAUGAAGCAGGAC